GAGGAUAUAGCUCAGUGGUAUAGCUCCUGCCUAACAAGAGCGAGGCCCUGGGUUCAAUACCCAGUUUUGUUU
rnacentral:tRNA from 1 species